UACGAAGGGGGCUAGCGUUGUUCGGAAUUACUGGGCGUAAAGCGCACGUAGGCGGAUAUUUAAGUCAGGGGUGAAAUCCCAGAGCUCAACUCUGGAACUGCCUUUGAUACUGGGUAUCUUGAGUAUGGAAGAGGUGAGUGGAAUUCCGAGUGUAGAGGUGAAAUUCGUAGAUAUUUCGGAGGAACACCAGUGACGAAGGCGGCUCACUGGUCCAUUACUGACGCUGAGGUGCGAAAGCGUGGGGAGCAAACAGG
rnacentral:rRNA from 1 species